AGAACUGGAAAGCCCCGGGGUGGCCACGUCAAGGCUCCUGAAGUCACUGGCUUCCACUUCCCCAGGAGGCCUCCAUCUUUGCAGAGAGCUGCGCCUGGGACAGCUAGGUCGCCAGCAUAAAAAGGCACGACAGGCUGUUGUUUCCCACCCCGCCCUGCUUCCCAGCGCCUACAAAUGCUGCAGGAUGGCUGACCGUGCACACCACGUUCCAAUACCUGUCCACAGACCCCCUGGGAAUUUGGCACAGGUUUUGGAACAGGCGAGUCUUAUUAUGCAUCCUGACCCACCGACCACGUGCAUUUUGAAGCAAGAGCCACAUCCACCUCUUAAUUGGACCAAAUCCCACCUUUGACCCAUGUCUUUGGCCUUUCUGGGUAAGGAGGAUAAAUGGACUUCGGUGCUGCCCCUUCUGCUGCAGGAGGUGGUUCUACCUUCCCCCGCCUGCCCGGCCCACCCCAGCAGAAGUUCAGGGCCCUCGAGCGGCCGGGAAGCCCUGCCCCGCCUGGCCAGAGAGGGCGGCCCUCCCCAGCACGCCCCGGGCCCGAGCCGCUCUCCCCUCGGCCCGCCUGGCCGUGCUCGCGCA